rnacentral:lncRNA from 1 species
CUCCCGGGUAUCCAUCACAUACGCGACAUAUCCUGCGCAUCCCUACUGAAGGUAGCGUCUAGCCCUCGCUGCUGAACAUACUGCAGGUCCACACUGCGGCCUCUCGCCAUGAAUCACUAACUCUCCCCCACCUGGGGUCCUGACUCGCACUAGCUGCCGCGCACGAUCUAUCACCGCCCCAUUAGGGCUCAACCAAUCCAUGCCUAUAAUCACUUUGUUCCCACGCAACGGUAUGGGAACCAGAUCCACCAAAUAGCACUCCUCGAAUAACCUCAGAAUACAAUCUCUGAACACUGAUGACGCUCGCACUGAUCGAUCGUCGGCAAUCUCCACCUCCAAAGGGCAAUCCAACGUGCCUGAAGACUCAGUGAACUUCUUGCUAAGCGCAAGGGAAACAAACGAUCGGGUAACNCCAAAGGGCAAUCCAACGUGCCUGAAGACUCAGUGAACUUCUUGCUAAGCGCAAGGGAAACAAACGAUCGGGUAAAACCCAAGUCGAAUAACACCUGGACUAGGAUACCGUUCACAUGGAAUGAUCCUAAUACAUAUAUAUACAUAUACCAAGCACAUAUCAAUAUCAUAACAUCACCACUGGAGCCUCUGCCUUGCCCUGCCGGCCGUCUGUGAUCCGCAUGGUUAAUUGCAGUGGAAACACAGCAAUUCAGACGUCUGAAUAACUGCUGCCGGAGCAGUGCAAUCCAUCAUAUAGUGCCCAGACUUGCCGCACUUGUAGCAGCCUGAUGAUCCCAACCUGCACGCCCCCUUGUGCGUUUGCCGCAUUUCCUGCAGCGGCCCCGUCCUUGUUAGCCUUUCGGCCCCACAUCCGAUCCCUUGGGCUUCUUCCCCGAAGCCCCUCCUGACUGACCCUCUUCUGCUUUCCGUUUCCGGAUGUGCUCCAAAUCUAUCUCCCUCUCCCUCGCCCUGUUAAUCAUAGAGUCCAAGGUGGGGCAGGUUGAAUAACCAACAUGCUCUCGAAUAUCAGCUCGGAGCAUGUCAUGAUAGCGGGUCCUCCUCAUGUCCUCAUCACCCGCAUAUUGGGGCACCAACAAUGCCCUCUCUCGGAACUUGGCGGUGAUCUCCGCCACAGUCUCCGUCGUCUGCUUCAUGUCCAAAAACUCUAGAGUCACAAUUGUCACACCUCUAAUGGCUUACAAACACCANNNNNNNNNNNNNNNNNNNNNNNNNNNNNNNNNNNNNNNNNNNNNNNNNNNNNNNNNNNNNNNNNNNNNNNNNNNNNNNNNNNNNNNNNNNNNNNNNNNNGAUCUAGGCUUUCUAAUUAAACAUGCUUUGAAUCCAAUACUUCUAGCAACUAAUUAGGUAUAAAACAAUACAAAAUCAGAUCUAGAAAUAUACCUUUGAAACACUUGUUUGAUCUUGUUGUCUUGGAGCUCUAGAGUCACAAUUGUCACUCCUCUAAUGGCUUACAAACACCAAUAAGCAAAGAAGAUGAUAUGAGAGAGAGAGGAGAGGGAAGAUUCGGCCAGGGUCUCUUUCUUCUUAAGAGGUGCCGAUUUCCCUUUGCCAUGGGGUCUAUUUAUACUUGUAGACUCCUUAAGGGUUUCACCUUAAACCCUAGUUGGAUAAUCCUUUCCUUAAAGCAAUCCAUAUCCUUACCAUAGAUAAGCCUUGGACGAUUUUGAGCAAUCCAAAGCUCUAGAAUCCGUCUAAUCCUUAUCUCUUAAGGAUUUACAGUCUAAAGUGUAACUAUCAAACAAUUGACAGUUUAUACCCUCUUAUUUAAUUAAUCUCUUUAAGUCACCAAAUUAAUACUAAUUAAUUUAUGACUUAUAUUAAUCAAAUAACAAUAUUAUUAUUCCUUAUAUUAUUCUCAUAAUAUAUUAAUAAUAUUUAUUCUCUCNAAUUGACAGUUUAUACCCUCUUAUUUAAUUAAUCUCUUUAAGUCACCAAAUUAAUACUAAUUAAUUUAUGACUUAUAUUAAUCAAGUAACAAUAUUAUUAUUCCUUAUAUUAUUCUCAUAAUAUAUUAAUAAUAUUUAUUCUCUCAUAAUAAAUCAUCCUACCAAGUUGGUAUGGUGAAGACAACCCAAAAGGACCAUGCACAAUCGGGUCAAAUACUUGCCUAAUAUAGUUGCAGCCUUAGAUACUAUUCCAACAGUAUCCCAGAAAGCUCCUCUGGGAAAACAUCUGCGAAAUCUCGCACCACCGGAACCUCGCUCACCGUCGCCUUACCCACCUCCCGGGUAUCCAUCACAUACGCGACAUAUCCUGCGCAUCCCUACUGAAGGUAGCGUCUAGCCCUCGCUGCUGAACAUACUGCAGGUCCACACUGCAGCCUCUCGCCAUGAAUCACUAACUCUCCCCCACCUGGGGUCCUGACUCGCACUAGCUGCCGCGCGCAAUCUAUCACCGCCCCAUUAGGGCUCAACCAAUCCAUGCCUAUAAUCACUUUGUUCCC